rnacentral:rRNA from 1 species
GAUGAACGCUGGCGGCGUGCCUAAUACAUGCAAGUCGAGCGAACAGACGAGGAGCUUGCUCCUCUGACGUUAGCGGCGGACGGGUGAGUAACACGUGGAUAACCUACCUAUAAGACUGGGAUAAAUUCGGGAAACCGGAGCUAAUACCGGAUAAUAUAUUGAACCGCAUGGUUCAAUAGUGAAAGACGGUUUUGCUGUCACUUAUAGAUGGAUCCGCGCCGCAUUAGCUAGUUGGUAAGGUAACGGCUUACCAAGGCAACGAUGCGUAGCCGACCUGAGAGGGUGAUCGGCCACACUGGAACUGAGACACGGUCCAGACUCCUACGGGAGGCAGCAGUAGGGAAUCUUCCGCAAUGGGCGAAAGCCUGACGGAGCAACGCCGCGUGAGUGAUGAAGGUCUUCGGGUCGUAAAACUCUGUUAUUAGGGAAGAACAAAUGUGUAAGUAACUAUGCACGUCUUGACGGUACCUAAUCAGAAAGCCACGGCUAACUACGUG